rnacentral:rRNA from 1 species
CGGURSGCMAGGCUACACAUGCAAGUCGAACGGUAGCACAGARAGYUUGCUCUCGGGUGACGAGUGGCGGACGGGUGAKUMMUGUCUGGSARACUGCCUGAUGGAGGGGGAUAACUACUGGAAACGGUAGCUAAUACCGCAUAACGUCGCAAGACCAAAGAGGGGGACCUUCGGGCCUCUUGCCAUCRRAUGUGCCCAGAUGGGAUUAGCUAGUAGGUGGGGKAACGGCUCACCUAGGCRACSAUCCCURGCUGGUCUGARAGGAUGACCAGCCACACUGGAACUGASACACGGUCCASACUCCUACGGGAGGCAGCAGUGGGGAAUAUUGCACAAUGGGCGCAAGCCUGAUGCAKCCAUGCCGCGUGUAUGAAGAAGGCCUUCGGGUUGUAAAGUACUUUCAGCGGGGAGGAAGGUGUUGUGGUUAAUAACCGCAGCAAUUGACGUUACCCGCARAAGAAGCACCGGCUAACUCCGUGCCAGCAGCCGCGGUAAUACGGAGGGUGCAAGCGUUAAUCGGAAUUACUGGGCGUAAAGCGCACGCAGGCGGUCUGUCAAGUCGGAUGUGAAAUCCCCGGGCUCAACCUGGGAACUGCAUUCGAAACUGGCAKGCUAGAGUCUUGUAGAGGGGGGUAGAAUUCCAGGUGUAGCGRUGAAAUGCGUAGAGAUCUGGAGGAAUACCGGUGGCGAAGGCGGCCCCCUGGACAAAKACUGACGCUCAGGUGCGAAAGCGUGGRGGAGCAAACAGGAUUAGAUACCSCUGGUASUCCACGCCGUAGACGAUGUCKACUUGGAGGUUGYGCYCUUGAKGYGUGGCCUUCCGSAGCCUAACGYGAUUAWGACGACCGUCCUGRGGUASUUACCGGUCCAGCSAAKGAUUUACAWAACCCUYCAURAAUUKGGUAG